UCCAGACUCCUACGGGAGGCAGCAGUAGGGAAUUUUGCGCAAUGGGGGAAACCCUGACGCAGCAACACCGCGUGAAUGUUAAGCCCUUCGGGGUGUAAAGUUCUGUCAAUAGGGACGAAUUUUGACUGUACCUAUAAAGGAAGCACCGGCUAACUCCGUGCCAGCAGCCGCGGUAAUACGGAGGAUGCGAGCGUUAUCCGGAUUUAUUGGGUUUAAAGGGUGCGUAGGCGGCAUUAUAAGUUAGUGGUAAAAUAUUGGGGCUUCACCUCACUACGCCAUUAAUACUGUAGAGCUAGAGAACAGACGAGGUAGGCGGAAUAAGUUAAGUAGCGGUGAAAUGCAUAGAUAUAACUUAGAACACCGGUAGCGAAGGCAGCUUACCAGACUGAGUCUGACGCUGAUGCACGAGAGCAUGGGUAGCGAACAGGAUUAGAUACCCUCGUA
rnacentral:rRNA from 1 species